AUUGAACGCUGGCGGCAUGCUUUACACAUGUAAGUCGAACGGCAGCGGGGAGGAGCUUGCUUCUCUGCCGGCGAGUGGCGAACGGGUGAGUAAUACAUCGGAACGUGUCGAGAAGAGGGGGAUAACCACCCGAAAGGGUGGCUAAUACCGCAUAAAUUCUGAGGAAGAAAGCUGGGGACCUAGGAAUAGGCCUAGCGCUUUUUGAGCGGCCGAUGUCGGAUUAGCUAGUUGGUGAGGUAAAGGCUCACCAAGGCGAAGAUCUGUAGCGGGUCUGAGAGGAUGAUCCGCCACACUGGGACUGAGACACGGCCCAGACUCCUACGGGAGGCAGCAGUGGGGAAUUUUGGACAAUGGGGGCAACCCUGAUCCAGCCAUGCCGCGUGUAUGAAGAAGGCCUUAGGGUUGUAAAGUACUUUUGUUAGGGAAGAAAAGUCAGCUGUGAAUAAUGGCUGAUACUGACGGUACCUAAAGAAUAAGCACCGGCUAACUACGUG
rnacentral:rRNA from 1 species